UACGGAGGAUGCAAGCGUUAUCCGGAUUUAUUGGGUUUAAAGGGUGCGCAGGUUGUUUGAUAAGUCAGUGGUGAAAGUCUGUCGCUUAACGGUAGGAUUGCCAUUGAUACUGUUGGACUUGAAUAUGGAUGAGGUAGGCGGAAUGUGUAGUGUAGCGGUGAAAUGCAUAGAUAUUACACAGAACACCGAUUGCGAAGGCAGCUUACUAAUCCAUCAUUGACACUGAGGCACGAAAGCGUGGGGAGUCAAACA
rnacentral:rRNA from 1 species